CCUACGGGUGGCAGCAGUGAGGAAUAUUGGUCAAUGGGCGCGAGUCUGAACCAGCCAAGUAGCGUGAAGGAUGACUGCCCUACGGGUUGUAAACUUCUUUUAUAAAGGAAUAAAGUGAGGCACGUGUGCCUUUUUGUAUGUACUUUAUGAAUAAGGAUCGGCUAACUCCGUGCCAGCAGCCGCGGUAAUACGGAGGAUCCGAGCGUUAUCCGGAUUUAUUGGGUUUAAAGGGAGCGUAGAGGGUUUGUUAAGUGAGUUGUGAAAGGUUGCGGCUCAACCGUAAAAUUGCAAUUGAUACUGGUAGUCUUGAGUACAGUUGAGGUAGGCGGAAUGCGUGGUGUAGCGGUGAAAUGCUUAGAUAUCACGAAGAACUCCGAUUGCGAAGGCAGCUUACUAAACUAUCACUGACAUUGAUGCUCGAAAGUGUGGGUAUCAAACAGGAUUAGAUACCCGUGUAGUC
rnacentral:rRNA from 1 species